rnacentral:rRNA from 1 species
AAGGUAGGGGAGGUGACGUCAAGUACAUCAUGGCCCUUACGGCCUGGGCUACACACGUGCUACAAUGGCGGUACAAAGGGUUGCCAAGCCGCGAGGUGGAGCUAAUCCCAUAAAACCGAUCGUAGUCCGGAUCGCAGUCUGCAACUCGACUGCGUGAAGUCGGAAUCGCUAGUAAUCGUGAAUCAGAAUGUCACGGUGAAUACGUUCCCGGGCCUU